rnacentral:rRNA from 1 species
GACGAACGCUGGCGGCGUGCUUAACACAUGCAAGUCGAACGGAAAGGCCCUGCUUUUGUGGGGUGCUCGAGUGGCGAACGGGUGAGUAACACGUGAGUAACCUGCCCUUGACUUUGGGAUAACUUCAGGAAACUGGGGCUAAUACCGGAUAGGAGCUCCUGCUGCAUGGUGGGGGUUGGAAAGUUUCGGCGGUUGGGGAUGGACUCGCGGCUUAUCAGCUUGUUGGUGGGGUAGUGGCUUACAAAGGCUUUGACGGGUAGCCGGCCUGAGAGGGUGACCGGCCACAUUGGGACUGAGAUACGGCCCAGACUCCUACGGGAGGCAGCAGUGGGGAAUAUUGCACAAUGGGCGGAAGCCUAAUGCAGCAACGCCGCGUGCGGGAUGACGGCCUUCGGGUUGUAAACCGCUUUCGCCUGUGACGAAGCGUGAGUGACGGUAAUGGGUAAAGAAGCACCGGCUAACUACGUG